AUGGGGUACCCAGUAACCAAACGUUCCCGUCCAGGGCCAGAUCUAUACAUGGGUUACCACUUACCACGACGACCAUCAAGAGCAUGUUGCAGAGUGAGGCGCAUGCUAAUAAUCAAACUUGUGUGCGGUAAAUUAUUGUACCGAUGCCACUUAUGGUGGAUGCAGAAUAUGUGUUACAUGUACAUCUUAUUUAGACACUUUUGCAAUGCAAAGGUCCACCAAAUACUGGCAUCGCAUGCAGGAGCAUGUGAGCAGAUAGGUGUCACCGUAGCCGUGCUUCUGCACCGAGCUGUCGUGGUGGACGCCGUCGUACCCUCCCGCUGCAGCGCCAUGCUGGUACUGCUCGCCGCCGUAGCCGUGCUUCUUCACGACGCCGUAGCUGUCGUGGUGGAGGGCGGCGGCGGCGCUCCCAUGCUCGUACGCCUUGUGCUCGCCGUAGCCGGGCUUCUGGACCGUGCAGUCCACGUACGCCUUCUGCUCGCCGUAGCCGUGCGCCUUCUCGCCGUAGCCAUGCUUCUGGACCUUGCUGUCCUGGUGGAGAGCGGUGUACCCCUUGAGAUUGCCUUCAUGCUGGUACGCCGUAUGCUCGCCGCCGUAGCCGCUCUUCUGGACCUUGCUGUCCUGGUGGUGACCACCGUACGCCUUCUGCUCGCCGUAGCCAUGCUUCUGCGCCGAGCUGUCAUGGUGGGCCUCAGCCCCAUAAUGCUGGUAAGCCUUCUGCUCACCGUAGCCAUGCUUCUGCGUGGCGCCUGUGCUGUCGUGGCUGGCAGCGUCGUAGCCUCCAUGCUGGUACGACGACGCCUUCUGCCCACCGUAGCCGCCGUGCUUCUGCACGGAGCUUUCGUGGUGGUGAGCGCUGUACCCUCCGGCGCCGCUCUCAUGCUGGUACGACGACACCUUUUGCUCGCCGUAGCCUCCGACGUCGCUCCCGUACGCCUGCUGCCCGUAGCCGUGCUUCUGCACUUCGGCGUCCUCGCUGCACAGCUCCGUGAGGGAGGCCGUCUUGUACCCCGCCUGCUUCUCGUUGAGGCUCAUGUGGCUGAUCUCCGUCACGACGGUGGUCACCGAGUCGGAGUUGUGGGUGUGGUAGCUUAUCACGGGCUUGCUCUGGCCGUAGCCGCCGCCGAAGCCCAAAGCACGCUUGACGAUGGACAUGGCUGCUUGCUUUCUUGCUCUGACUACUACGGCUAG
rnacentral:rRNA from 1 species